rnacentral:rRNA from 1 species
UACGUAGGGUGCUAGCGUUGUCCGGAUUUAUUGGGCGUAAAGGGCUCGUAGGCGGUUUGUCGCGUCGUCCGUGAAAACUCACAGCUUAACUGUGAGCUUGCGGUCGAUACGGGCAGGCUAGAGUUCGGUAGGGGAGACUGGAAUUCCUGGUGUAGCGGUGAAAUGCGCAGAUAUCAGGAGGAACACCGGUGGCGAAGGCGGGUCUCUGGGCCGAUACUGACGCUGAGGAGCGAAAGCGUGGGGAGCGAACAGG